GUGUACCACGCGUACACCGCGAUUCCUUCGUACCGUCGACGCCACCUGACGGCUGCUCACUGCGUUUUGUUGGCA
rnacentral:sRNA from 1 species